UACGAAGGGGGCGAGCGUUAUUCGGAAUCACUGGGCGUAAAGCGUGCGUAGGCGGUUUUGUAAGUUAGAAGUGAAAGCCCAGGGCUCAACCCUGGAAUUGCUUUUAAAACUACAAGACUAGAAUCUCGGAGAGGAUAGCGGAAUUUCCAGUGUAGCAGUGAAAUGCGUAGAUAUUGGAAGGAACACCAGUGGCGUAAGCGGCUAUCUGGACGAGUAUUGACGCUGAGGUACGAAAGCGUGGGGAUCAAACAGG
rnacentral:rRNA from 1 species